rnacentral:rRNA from 1 species
UACGAGGGGGCAAGCGUUGUUCGGAAUUAUUGGGCGUAAAGAGCUCGUAGGCGGUUUGGUAGGUCUCGCGUCAAAACCUGAGGCUCAACCUCAGUUCGCGUGGGAAACCACCUAGCUAGAGUCCGGAAGAGGAGAACGGAAUUCCCAGUGUAGCGGUGAAAUGCGCAGAUAUUGGGAAGAACACCAGUGGCGAAGGCGGUUCUCUGGGACGGUACUGACGCUGAGACGCGAAAGCGUGGGGAGCGAACAGG